rnacentral:rRNA from 2 species
CUAGCUGCGAGAAUUAAUGUGAAUUGCAGAACACAUUGAACAUCGACACCUUGAACGCAUAUGGCGGCCUCGGGUCCAUCCCGGGGCCACGCCCGUCUGAGGGUCGGCG